UACACCUACUCACACUCCCCCAUGGAAGCAUGCUCCUCCCUCUCUGACACACACACACGCACAUGCACGCAGGGAUUCACACGCAUCACUCCUCAUGCCUCUCCAUCCCCUCCCCCCACCCAGCUACCCUGCCGGCAGCAGAGUGAGCAGCUCCAUGCAUCCAUCUGGGCCUGACCUGCCUACACUGUUUGCCUAAAAUACUUGAGAUGACUGGCCCUCGCUGCAGUGGAGAAACAGCCCUCUGUUUACAGGUCCAGAAGAUAGGGCAACACCACACAUGGUCAUCAGAACAGGGUCUUCUCACUGCUAGUGGAUCUAAUUCUCCCAGCUUCACAGGAAGUUCAGUCUGUGGUCCUGUAAAAUCAUUUUGGGUGGCUAUGUGGCUUCUGGUUCCGAGUUUUGGAACUCAUCUGUGGAGGACACCCAUGUUGCUUGCAAAGAAACCAACAGAAGUUUCUGACAUCGUAUGUUGAAUGUGACUGAAAGGAAGAUGGCAAAGUUGUGCUGAAACAAGAGCGAUGCUUUCGAAGAUCGUCUGGUUGUGCUUAAGAAAACGAGGUGAGUGUUACACAAGAUAUUCAUGAAGUAAUUUCACAAAGGUGAGUCAAGCCCAGAGCCAGGAUCUAAACUAAGGAAUGCACUAGGUGUGUGAGGAAUGAAUGCCGUCUCCUCUCCUCUGCCCUUCAGUAAGGAAGCACGUCACUGUGGCAAUCAAGGGGUUCAGAAGAGGGGGAUUUCACAUGAAAAGUAGAGAGCUGGCUGGAAUUGGGCAGAGGUGAUAACAUAACGGCUUUGGAAUGAUGCUACCGUGAGGUGAGGGGCUUGAAGCAAAUCUUCAAGAGCAGGCUGUAGUCUUGAUGAAUAAGCUAUUCUACUUGGCUCCUGUCUUAUCUUCCUGGAGCAACUAGCUUAGUUAGUUUUGCUUUUUCUCAGUGUCGUUUAUCACAGGGACAGGAAAGCAUUUUGAAUUCAUUUUUUGACCUGCAUCAACUUGUUGUGUGUACAUCUCAUUAUGAUGCAUCACAGUUAAUUUACAUGUGCUUUUCCCCCAAGACUGUGAACAAUUGAUAGCAUUUAAUUUUGUAUCAUGAUAAACACGUUGCCUGGUAGCAGUUUCAGCCACACUUUCCAGUGAAAUGGAUAAUGCAAUGCCUAAAGAAAAACUAACUCAACCUCCCCUACCGCAUUCAGUCCCCCACCCCAUAAUGAAGCACUGUGAUCAUGGUAAUACAGCGAUGACCAGAGAACCUGGCACUUGGGCUGACUCCUGGCAGCUGGACCUGUCGGAUUUAAUAGAAAGAAUACAAUGUUACGAUAGAGGUGAGUGGACCAUGUUACUCAUUCUUGCAAGGAUGCAUUCUGCCUGAGGUUGCUGUUUCUCAUUGUUGCAAGCAAGCUUUGGAAGACUUAGCUGGUUUCUGCUGGUCUCAGCGGUCAGCAGGUAUAUUCACAUGAGUUUUCUGGAAAUCUGCAUGCCAUUGCACAAACUCUUUGAGAUUUUGUAAACUCUGCGAAACCAUUUCAUUUAUUCAGGAAUAAAUAUAGAAAGAUCUAUAAGUUAACUAAUGAU
rnacentral:lncRNA from 13 species